rnacentral:rRNA from 1 species
CCUAGCGGACGGUGUAGCAUCGUACGGAGUGCACACGCAGGCACAAGCUACACAUUUGAAAUCUGGCUGUCUUCGAUAGUCCGAGUUGUAAUCUAUAGAAGCGUUUUCCGUGCUGAACUGUGUCUAAGUCCCUUGGAACAGGGUAUCAAAGAGGGUGAUAAUCCCGUACUUGACACAAUCAUCAGUGCUCUGUGAUACGUUCUCUACGAGUCGAGUUGUUUGGGAAUGCAGCUCAAAAUGGGUGGUAAAUUCCAUCUAAAGCUAAAUAUUGGCGAGAGACCGAUAGCGAACAAGUACCGUGAGGGAAAGAUGAAAAGCACUUUGGAAAGAGAGUUAAACAGUACGUGAAAUUGUUGAAAGGGAAACGAUUGAAGUCAGUCGUGUUCAUUGGAUUCAGCUAGUUCUUCUAGUCUACUUCCUUUGAACGGGUCAACAUCAGUUUUGUCCGGUGGAUAAAGGAUUUAGGAAUGUGACUCCCUCGGGAGUGUUAUAGCCUAGGUUCACAUACACUGGGUGAGACUGAGGACUGCAGCUCGCCUUUUGGCCGGGGUUCGCCCACGUUCGAGCUUAGGAUGUUGACAUAAUGGCUUUAAACGACCCGUCUUAAAAA